rnacentral:rRNA from 1 species
UACGUAGGGGGCAAGCGUUAUCCGGAUUUACUGGGUGUAAAGGGAGCGUAGACGGUGUGGCAAGUCUGAUGUGAAAGGCAUGGGCUCAACCUGUGGACUGCAUUGGAAACUGUCAUACUUGAGUGCCGGAGGGGUAAGCGGAAUUCCUAGUGUAGCGGUGAAAUGCGUAGAUAUUAGGAGGAAUACCAGUGGCGAAGGCGGCUUACUGGACGGUAACUGACGUUGAGGCUCGAAAGCGUGGGGAGCAAACAGG